rnacentral:rRNA from 1 species
GAUGAACGCUGGCGGCGUGCCUAAUACAUGCAAGUCGAGCGAAGCGGGGACGGGUGAGUAACACGUGGAUAACCUCCUAUAAGACUGGGGUAACUUCGGGGAACCGGAGCUAAACCGGAUACUUAUACAUUAAUCCGGGGUGCAUUAUCUAGUUGGUAAGGUAACGGCUUACAAAGGCAACGAUGCGUAGCCGGCCUGAGAGGGUGAUCGGCCACACUGGAACUGAGACACGGUCCAGACUCCGACGGGAGGCAGCAGUGGGGAAUCUUCCGCAAUGGGCGAAAGCCUGACGGAGCAACGCCGCGUGAGUGAUGAAGGUCUUCGGAUCGUAAAACUCUUUUAUUAGGGAAGCGGUACCUAAUCAGAAAGCCACGGCUAACUACGUGCCAGCAGCCGCGGUAAUUC